AGACUCUGGUUUCUCUUCAGAUCGUAUAAUCUUUCGUCGCCUUUUACUAAAGAUUUCCGUGGAGAGGAACAUUUAUGAGUUUCGAACUAAUUUUUUUGAGGCCCCGCUUCGUGGGGCUA